UACGUAGGGUGCGAGCGUUAAUCGGAAUUACUGGGCGUAAAGCGUGCGCAGGCGGUUCGCUGUGUCCGAUGUGAAAGCCCCGGGCUUAACCUGGGAAUGGCAUUGGAAACUGGCGGGCUUGAGUGCGGCAGAGGGGGGUGGAAUUCCGCGUGUAGCAGUGAAAUGCGUAGAGAUGUGGAGGAACACCGAUGGCGAAGGCAGCCUCCUGGGCCAACACUGACGCUCAUGCACGAAAGCGUGGGGAGCAAACAGG
rnacentral:rRNA from 1 species